UGAGCUGCUAGAUUUUGCAAUUGCAGUUGUUUACAUUACUGGCAUUUCACUUGUCUCCUUGGAUGAAUUGUGACAAUAUCACUGCUACUUUCAGUUUCUCAUGUUUCCAAGCAUGCUGGGUAGUGACAGAUAUGUUUGCUUUGUUGCAGCACACCAACGGAAGUAACAGAAAGGAUUCUGAAGGGAAGGAUGGAUUGACCUUUCCCGGUAGAGUUGAAGCCGGUCUUUUUAACUCUCUCAUUUGGAUACCGCUAUGUCUUCAGUCUAUAUUAGCCUGCAGAUGUUGUAAUCAGAUAAUUUCAAUUCGAUUUCACCUAGUUUCAGAUUAGGAAUUAACAGAAAGGAUUCUGUAGGGAAGGAUGGAUUGACCUUUUCCGGUAGAGUUGAAGCCUGUUUGUUUAACUCUCUCAUUUGGAUACCUAUUUCUUCAGUCUAUAUUAGCCUGCUGAUAUUGUGAUCGGAUAAUUUCAAUUCGAUUUCACCUUUCUAAUAUUGAGAUUUGCUAUUGAGUUUAUA
rnacentral:lncRNA from 1 species